rnacentral:rRNA from 1 species
GUCUAUGGCCAUGCCACCCUGAAUGUGCCCAAUCUCGUCUGAUCUCGGAAGCUAAGCAGGGUCGGGCCUGGUUAGUAUUUGGAUGGGAGGCCACCCUGGAAGACCAGGUGCUGUAAGAG